GCCUUCGACAUUCGUUUCAAUCCUGACAUCUUCUCACCGGGGGUUCGCUUCCCUGAGUCCUGCCAGGAUGAAGUUCGGGACCAGAAGCAGCUGCUGAAGGACGCGGCUGCUUUCCUGCUCUCCUGCCAGAUCCCUGGCUUGGUGAGGGAGGGGCCGCGGGGCUGGGUUGGGGCUUGUGCGGAGGGUGCUGGUCCCUCAUCCGUCUCUGACUUGGAGGCCCAUGAACACAGGAUCGCAGGAGUGACUUUUUCAGCUUUCCCUAAGUGGGCAUCCCCAUUUGACAGAUGGGGAGCCUGACCCCCAGAGGUCAAGGGCACAGGCCCGCUGAGCCCACCGGGUGGGGCUGGCAGCUGGGAAUCCAGUCUUCUGAGUCCUGGGUGGUGGCACGGCUGGGGGAUGGGGCCAGAGCUCAGUGGGGGCUGCUCAUCCUCCCGCAGGCUCUGUGCCUGGUCCCAGGAUGCUGGGGGCUCCCCCAACACCAUGGCCUCCAAGCCUCAGGACGCGGGGCUGGGAGUCAAGUAGUGCCCCCAAGCAGGCACCUCUGCUUCUCCCACGUGGUUAGAGGGGGCCUGUGCCACCACCGGGUU
rnacentral:sRNA from 1 species